rnacentral:rRNA from 1 species
UUUGGAGGGCAAGUCUGGUGCCAGCAGCCGCGGUAAUUCCAGCUCCAAUAGCGUAUAUUAAAGUUGUUGCAGUUAAAAAGCUCGUAGUUGAAUUUCGGGGUUAGUAGGUUGGCCAUGCCUCUGGUAUGUACUGGUCUCACUGAUUCCUCCUUCCUGAUGAGCCGUAAUGCCAUUAAUUUGGUGUUGCGGGGAAUUUGGACUGUUACUUUGAAAAAAUUAGAGUGUUUAAAGCAAGCUAACGCUUGAAUACAUUAGCAUGGAAUAAUGAAAUAGGACGUUCGAUCCUAUUUUGUUGGUUUCUAGGAUUGACGUAAUGAUUAAUAGGGAUAGUUGGGGGCAUUAGUAUUCAAUUGUCAGAGGUGAAAUUCUUGGAUUUAUUGAAGACUAACUACUGCGAAAGCAUUUGCCAAGGAUGUUUUCAUUAAUCAAGAACGAAAGUUAGGGGAUCGAAGACGAUCAGAUACCGUCGUAGUCUUAACCAUAAACUAUGCCGACUAGGGAUCGGAUGAUGUUAAUUUUUUAAUGACUCAUUCGGCGCCUUACGGGAAACA